rnacentral:rRNA from 1 species
AGUGAACGCUGGCGGCAGGCUUAACACAUGCAAGUCGAGCGCCCCGCAAGGGGAGCGGCAGACGGGUGAGUAACGCGUGGGAAUCUACCCAUCUCUACGGAAUAACGCAUGGAAACGUGUGCUAAUACCGUAUACGUCCUUCGGGAGAAAGAUUUAUCGGAGAUGGAUGAGCCCGCGUUGGAUUAGCUAGUUGGUGGGGUAAAGGCCUACCAAGGCGACGAUCCAUAGCUGGUCUGAGAGGAUGAUCAGCCACACUGGGACUGAGACACGGCCCAGACUCCUACGGGAGGCAGCAGAGGGGAAUAUUGGACAAUGGGCGCAAGCCUGAUCCAGCCAUGCCGCGUGAGUGAUGAAGGCCCUAGGGUUGUAAAGCUCUUUCACCGGUGAAGAUAAUGACGGUAACCGGAGAAGAAGCCCCGGCUAACUUCGUGCCAGCAGCCGCCGCCGUAA